AUUGUAUCUCCACGCCCCCUCCUCCUCUCCUCUCCCCUCUCUCUCUCUCCUCUCCCUCCUCUCUCACACACUGGGAUAUUCAUUCAGAGUGGCGGAUGUCAUGCCAACUGUCUCUCUCUGUAUAGAUCGUCAUGCCAACUGUCUCUCUGUAGAUCGUCAUGCCGACUAUCUCCAGACUGUCUCCUGUCUUCAUCGUCCAGCUCUCAGCUCUGCUACUGCUGCCGCUCUGCUGGGGGGCAUCGGUUGACUUCUAUGAUGAUGCAACUCCAGUACCAGAAUACGAUGAUGACACAACCAUUAUCAUCAGCUUCUUCAGUAACUCGAGCAGCGAUGACCUGGAUAUCUUCCUCAACGCCACGGAGGAGGGUGGAGGGGAGGCGGAGGCGGUCACCAUGACGACCACCAUCACGUCCCCGGCCGGCGACCGGGUCACAGUCCCCAGCUCAGCCUCCCCCCCCCGGGUCCCGGUGUCGGGGCCGGUCUUCAGUCUCUUGCUGUGCGUCAGUCUGAGUCGCGUUGGGCAGACGUACUGACACACAGACACACCCUGAGACCUAGUACGGAACUGCAAGAGACACACUGACGCCAUGUUAAUGUCACAAAGACCCCCCAAACCUGAUGUUAGGACCCCACAAACCCCCCAAACCUGAUGUUAGGACCCCACAGACCCUCUGAACCUCAUGAUUUGGACCUCAAAGACAAUUCUUCAUCAGAAAGCAUAUGUGUUGUCAAACACUGUCCCUGUGCCCUCACUCCUACCCACUCCCCUCUGACACCGCCGCCUCUAUCACACCUACAGUCUGUCCUCUAUCACAGCUACAGUCUGUCCUCCAUCACAGCUACAGUCUGUCCUCUAUCACACCUACAGUCUGUCCUCUAUCACAGCUACAGUCUGUCCUCUAUCACAGCUACAGUCCGUCCUCUAUCACAGCUACAGUCUGUCCUCUAUCACAGCUACAGUCUGUCCUCUAUCACAGCUACAGUCUGUCCUCUAUCACAGUCUGUCCUCUAUCACACCUAGUCUGUCCUCUAUCACAGCUACAGUCUGUCCUUUAUCACAGCUACAGUCUGUCCUCUAUCACAGUCUGUCCUCUAUCACAGUGUGUCCUUUAUCAUAGCUACAGUCUGUCCUCUAUCACAGUCUGUCCUCUAUCACACCUACAGUCUGUCCUCUAUCACACCUACAGUCUGUCCUCUAUCACAGCUACAGUCUGUCCUCUAUCACACCUACAGUCUGUCCUCUAUCACACCUACAGUCUGUCCUCUAUCACACCUACAGUCUGUCCUCUAUCACACCUACAGUCUGUCCUCUAUCACACCUACAGUCUGUCCUCUAUCACACCUACAGUCUGUCCUCUAUCACACCUACAGUCUGUCCUCUAUCACACCUACAGUCUGUCCUCUAUCACAGUGUGUCCUUUAUCAUAGCUACAGUCUGUCCUCUAUCACAGUCUGUCCUCUAUCACAGCUACAGUCUGUCCUUUAUCACAGCUACAGUCUGAAAUUCAUCACAGUUACAAUCAUAAACAGUUUCAAAGAAUUAUAUAUUACAAUAUUUUAAAAUUAUUUAAAAUUCCCAAUCAGUGUUCAUUUGGUGCAUCAUUACCCAACAAUGUGUAGUGUUUUUUCACGAUGGAUAUACUGUAUGUAUGGAAGAUUUUCCUCCACAGAAUUGUUUUUUUACAAAGAAUGAUUGAAAUAAUUGCUCUACUGAAUUAUGUAAUAAAGUAUUUUGUGAAAUGUU